ACAUGCCUACAUCAUAGUGUUAAUGCAUCAGAUCCCAUUAGAAAUCUGUAGUUAAGCACUCUCAAGCUAGAGUAAUACUAGGAUGGGUGAUGGCCCGGGAUGUCCUAGUGUUUUACAAGCC
rnacentral:rRNA from 1 species